GAUGAACGCUGGCGGCGUGCCUAAUACAUGCAAGUCGAGCGAACGGACGAGAAGCUUGCUUCUCUGAUGUUAGCGGCGGACGGGUGAGUAACACGUGGAUAACCUACCUAUAAGACUGGGAUAACUUCGGGAAACCGGAGCUAAUACCGGAUAAUAUUUUGAACCGCAUGGUUCAAAAGUAAAAGACGGUCUUGCUGUCACUUAUAGAUGGAUCCGCGCUGCAUUAGCUAGUUGGUAAGGUAACGGCUUACCAAGGCAACGAUGCAUAGCCGACCUGAGAGGGUGAUCGGCCACACUGGAACUGAGACACGGUCCAGACUCCUACGGGAGGCAGCAGUAGGGAAUCUUCCGCAAUGGGCGAAAGCCUGACGGAGCAACGCCGCGUGAGUGAUGAAGGUCUUCGGAUCGUAAAACUCUGUUAUUAGGGAAGAAUAUAUGUGUAAGUAACUGUGCACAUCUUGACGGUACCUAAUCAGAAAGCCACGGCUAACUACGUGCCAGCAGCCGCGGGUAUACGUAGGUGGCAAGCGUUAUCCGGAAUAUUGGGCGUAAAGCGCGCGUAGGCGGUUUUUUAGUCUGAUGUGAAAGCCCACGGCUCUUCCGUGGAGGGUCAUUGGAAACUGGAAAACUUGAGUGCAGAAGAGGAAAGUGGAAUUCCAUGUGUAGCGGUGAAAUGCGCAGAGAUAUGGAGGAACACCAGUGGCGAAGGCGACUUUCUGGUCUGUAACUGACGCUGAUGUGCGAAAGCGUGGGGAUCAAACAGGAUUAGAUACCCUGGUAGUCCACGCCGUAAACGAUGAGUGCUAAGUGUUAGGGGGUUUCCGCCCCUUAGUGCUGCAGCUAACGCAUUAAGCACUCCGCCUGGGGAGUACGACCGCAAGGUUGAAACUCAAAGGAAUUGACGGGGACCCGCACAAGCGGUGGAGCAUGUGGUUUAAUUCGAAGCAACGCGAAGAACCUUACCAAAUCUUGACAUCCUUUGACAACUCUAGAGAUAGAGCCUUCCCCUUCGGGGGACAAAGUGACAGGUGGUGCAUGGUUGUCGUCAGCUCGUGUCGUGAGAUGUUGGGUUAAGUCCCGCAACGAGCGCAACCCUUAAGCUUAGUUGCCAUCAUUAAGUUGGGCACUCUAAGUUGACUGCCGGUGACAAACCGGAGGAAGGUGGGGAUGACGUCAAAUCGUCAUGCCCCUUAUGAUUUGGGCUACACACGUGCUACAAUGGACAAUACAAAGGGCAGCGAAACCGCGAGGUCAAGCAAAUCCCAUAAAGUUGUUCUCAGUUCGGAUUGUAGUCUGCAACUCGACUACAUGAAGCUGGAAUCGCUAGUAAUCGUAGAUCAGCAUGCUACGGUGAAUACGUUCCCGGGUCU
rnacentral:rRNA from 1 species